rnacentral:rRNA from 1 species
AGAGUUUGAUCCUGGCUCAGAACGAACGCUGGCGGCGCGCCUAACACAUGCAAGUCGAACGAGAGGCUCUUCGGAGUAGUAAAGUGGCAAACGGGUGAGGAAUGCAUGGGUAACCUACCCUUGAGAAGGGAAUAACCCGCCGAAAGGUGAGCUAAUACCCUAUACGCUACACUUUCUAUGGGAGGUGUAGGAAAGCUAAGCCGUGGGUUUGGCACUCAAGGAGGGGCUCAUGUCCUAUCAGCUUGUUGGUAGGGUAACGGCCUACCAAGGCAACGACGGGUAGCUGGUCUGAGAGGAUGAUCAGCCACACUGGCACUGAGAUACGGGCCAGACUCCUACGGGAGGCAGCAGUGAGGAAUAUUGCGCAAUGGGCGAAAGCCUGACGCAGCGACGCCGCGUGGGGGAUGAAGGUUCUCGGAUUGUAAACCCCUUUUGUGAGGAAAGAGAAAGUGGGUAACCACUUAGACGGUACCUCAAGAAAAAGCCACGGCUAACUUCGUGCCAGCAGCCGCGGUAAUACGAAGGUGGCGAGCGUUGUUCGGAUUUACUGGGCGUAAAGAGCACGUAGGCGGUUGGGUAAGCCUCUUGGGAAAGCUCCCGGCUUAACCGGGAAAGGUCGAGAGGAACUACUCAACUAUAGGACGGGAGAAGAGCGCGGAAUUCCCGGUGUAGCGGUGAAAUGCGUAGAUAUCCGGAAAGCUAACG